rnacentral:lncRNA from 1 species
AUCAAUGGUAUGAAUUGUGUACAAUGCAUGUAAUGGCCCAAAUUUGCCAGGCCCGAUACAGAUAUUAAAACCCAAAUAUGAAAAAAAAAAUUCAGUCUAGUUUACAAACCAAAAUAAAUUAAACCUAAACCCAAGUUACCUACCCAAACACUAGCCUAGCCCAAUAUCCCCAACCCAAUUAGCCCAACACCUAACCCCGACCCAAAUCACCUAAGCCCAAAAUAAAAAUCACCUAACCCCGGCCCAAAU